UUAGAGUUUGAUCCUGGCUCAGAUUGAACGCUGGCGGCAGGCUUAACACAUGCAAGUCGAGCGGAGAUGAGGUGCUUGCACCUUAUCUUAGCGGCGGACGGGUGAGUAAUGCUUAGGAAUCUGCCUAUUAGUGGGGGACAACAUUCCGAAAGGAAUGCUAAUACCGCAUACGUCCUACGGGAGAAAGCAGGGGAUCUUCGGACCUUGCGCUAAUAGAUGAGCCUAAGUCGGAUUAGCUAGUUGGUGGGGUAAAGGCCUACCAAGGCGACGAUCUGUAGCGGGUCUGAGAGGAUGAUCCGCCACACUGGGACUGAGACACGGCCCAGACUCCUACGGGAGGCAGCAGUGGGGAAUAUUCGACAAUGGGGGGAACCCUGAUCCAGCCAUGCCGCGUGUGUGAAGAAGGCCUUAUGGUUGUAAAGCACUUUAAGCGAGGAGGAGGCUACUGAGACUAAUACUCUUGGAUAGUGGACGUUACUCGCAGAAUAAGCACCGGCUAACUCUGUGCCAGCAGCCGCGGUAAUACAGAGGGUGCGAGCGUUAAUCGGAUUUACUGGGCGUAAAGCGUGCGUAGGCGGCUUUUUAAGUCGGAUGUGAAAUCCCCGAGCUUAACUUGGGAAUUGCAUUCGAUACUGGGAAGCUAGAGUAUGGGAGAGGAUGGUAGAAUUCCAGGUGUAGCGGUGAAAUGCGUAGAGAUCUGGAGGAAUACCGAUGGCGAAGGCAGCCAUCUGGCCUAAUACUGACGCUGAGGUACGAAAGCAUGGGAGCAA
rnacentral:rRNA from 1 species